rnacentral:rRNA from 1 species
GGAAUCUUGCGCAAUGGGCGAAAGCCUGACGCAGCGACGCCGCGUGAGGGAUGACGGCCUUCGGGCUGUAAACCUCUGUCAGGAGGGAAGAACCCGGGCUCGGUGAACAGCCGCUCCCGCUGACGGUACCUCCAGAGGAACCACCGGCUAACUCCGUCCCCGCAGCCGCGGUAAGACGGAGGGUGCAAACGUUGUUCGGAAUCACUGGGCGUAAAGGGCGCGUAGGCGGACCUGUAAGUCAGGAGUGAAAUCCCGGGGCUCAACUCCGGGCCUGCUUCUGAAACUGCGGGUCUUGAGGACCGGAGAGGAAAGCGGAAUUCCUAGUGUAGCGGUGGAAUGCGUAGAUAUUAGGAAGAACACCAGCGGCGAAGGCGGCUUUCUGGACGGUACCUGACGCUGAGGCGCGAAAGCUAGGGGAGCAAAC